rnacentral:rRNA from 1 species
UACAGAGGUCUCAAGCGUUGUUCGGAUUCAUUGGGCGUAAAGGGUGCGUAGGCGGCGCGGUAAGUCGGGUGUGAAAUCUUGGAGCUUAACUCCGAAACUGCAUUCGAUACUGCCGUGCUUGAGGACUGGAGAGGAGACUGGAAUUUACGGUGUAGCGGUGAAAUGCGUAGAUAUCGUAAGGAAGACCAGUGGCGAAGGCGGGUCUCUGGACAGUUCCUGACGCUGAGGCACGGAAGGUCAGGGGAGCAAACGGG